rnacentral:rRNA from 1 species
UACGUAGGGGGCAAGCGUUGUCCGGAUUUAUUGGGCGUAAAGAGCGUGUAGGCGGCCAUGUAGGUCCGUUGUGAAAACUCGAGGCUCAACCUCGAGACGCCGAUGGAAACCAUGUGGCUAGAGUCCGGAAGAGGAGAGUGGAAUUCCUGGUGUAGCGGUGAAAUGCGCAGAUAUCAGGAAGAACACCCGUGGCUAAGGCGGGUCUCUGGGCAGUAACUGACGCUGAGGAGCGAAAGCGUGGGGAGCGAACAGG